rnacentral:tRNA from 1 species
GGUGAGAUGGCCGAGUUGGUUAUGGCGUAUGGUUAAGGCUAACCCUUAGCAACUAAUUUCCAUAUGGAGCAAUCCGCGUGGGUUCAAGUCCCACUCUCAUCA